rnacentral:lncRNA from 1 species
CUACUCGGGUUCGAUUCGAAAAAAAACUCGAAUUCGGUUCGAUUAUUGUCGAGUCGAGCUCGAGCUCGAGUAGCUCGACUUAUCGAUCGAGCCGAAUUCGAGUAUUCUUAUAUCUGACUCGAGUAGCUCGCGAGCCUAAUCGAGCUUUUAUAUUUAAAUAUAUUUUUAUUUUUUUUAAUUAAAAAAAUAUUUCGAAUCCGAGUUCGAGUUCGAGUUCGAGCAUGAAUAAUCGAACUCUUGUCGAGUAUACAAAUCGAGCUUAUUUUUACAUAUUAAUCGAGCUUAAUCGAGCGAGCUCGAGUAGCUCGAAUUCGAUCACGAAUCGAGCUCGAGCUUGAAAAAU